rnacentral:tRNA from 1 species
GACCUUGUGGCGCAAUGGUAGAGCGUCUGACUCCAGAUCAGAAGGUUGCGUGUUCAAAUCACGUCGAGGUCA